UACGGGGGGGGCAAGCGUUGUUCGGAAUUACUGGGCGUAAAGGGCUCGUAGGCGGCCAACUAAGUCAGACGUGAAAUCCCUCGGCUUAACCGGGGAACUGCGUCUGAUACUGGAUGGCUUGAGAUUGGGAGAGGGAUGCGGAAUUCCAGGUGUAGCGGUGAAAUGCGUAGAUAUCUGGAGGAACACCGGUGGCGAAGGCGGCAUCCUGGACCAACACUGACGCUGAGUGAGCGAAAGCCAGGGAAGCAAACGGG
rnacentral:rRNA from 1 species